GAGCUCUUCAAUGUCUCCCAGCCCAAGGUGCAGUGCUGCAUCUCUGGUCAGUUGUGAGUCUGAGAUGAAGCACUGUAGCUCGGGAAGGGAGGAACUGUGCAGCUGA
rnacentral:pre_miRNA from 14 species